CCAUCCCUACAUGUUAUGUGCAAGACACCGGUCUUCCUAAAAUAAUCCCCACAUUCAAUAUAUUAGAAAACUGUUGCAAUCAUAGUUAUAGAAUCGAGUUGGAUUGGUCAGUUCAAUUGAUGAACCAACCACCUAACCAAUCUGAUUUUGAUAAAAUACCAGACAUGAAAAUGAACUGAAAAGAACCGAAAAAACCAGCUAUUUUUUUUAUGGAAACGACGACCCUGGUGAACUAGCUGGUUUAGUCCUGUUAGUAAAAAAAAAAAAAAACUAAGCUCUAAAAUAGGAUAAAAUACCUGAUUCUUUCUGCCUCUUUUCUCAGUUUAGACUACCUUGCUGUCGUAUGCCCUUUUCUUCUUAAUUCUCCGUCAGUUCAUUGCUCAUCCGGGCUGUAAUUUCUGUGGAUUGGAACAGUUCUUCAUUUGUUUCUCAUUCUGGGUGUAAAUUGUCUACUUCCAGCUGGCCUGCUAUGUGUUUGAUGCUGGGUCUACAAGGAUGGAUGAGCUUGGUGUUGUGAUGUAGCAUAUAGCAAAGAUAGAAACUAUGGUUCUCGAGUUUUAAGGUUUAUGGAUUUAAGUUGUAUAGAAAUUUAAAGAAUAAACUUUAAUAUUUUAUAAAAUAUAAACAAUAAUUUGAAUCA